rnacentral:rRNA from 1 species
GAGUGGCGGCGUGCUAUAAUGCAAGUCGAGCGAGCUUGCCUAGAUGAUUUUAGUGCUUGCACUAAAUGAAACUAGAUACAAGCGAGCGGCGGACGGGUGAGUAACACGUGGGUAACCUGCCCAAGAGACUGGGAUAACACCUGGAAACAGAUGCUAAUACCGGAUAACAACACUAGACGCAUGUCUAGAGUUUGAAAGAUGGUUCUGCUAUCACUCUUGGAUGGACCUGCGGUGCAUUAGCUAGUUGGUAAGGUAACGGCUUACCAAGGCAAUGAUGCAUAGCCGAGUUGAGAGACUGAUCGGCCACAUUGGGACUGAGACACGGCCCAAACUCCUACGGGAGGCAGCAGUAGGGAAUCUUCCACAAUGGACGAAAGUCUGAUGGAGCAACGCCGCGUGAGUGAAGAAGGGUUUCGGCUCGUAAAGCUCUGUUGGUAGUGAAGAAAGAUAGAGGUAGUAACUGGCCUUUAUUUGACGGUAAUUACUUAGAAAGUCACGGCUAACUACGUGCCAGCAGCCGCGGUAAUACGUAGGUGGCAAGCGUUGUCCGGAUUUAUUGGGCGUAAAGCGAGUGCAGGCGGUUCAAUAAGUCUGAUGUGAAAGCCUUCGGCUCAACCGGAGAAUUGCAUCAGAAACUGUUGAACUUGAGUGCAGAAGAGGAGAGUGGAACU